rnacentral:rRNA from 1 species
UACGUAGGGGGCAAGCGUUGUCCGGAAUCAUUGGGCGUAAAGAGCGUGUAGGCGGCCCGGUAAGUCCGUUGUGAAAGUCCAGGGCUCAACCCUGGAAAGCCGAUGGAUACUGCCGGGCUAGAGUUCGGAAGAGGCGAGUGGAAUUCCUGGUGUAGCGGUGGAAUGCGCAGAUAUCAGAGGAACACCUAUAGCGAAGGCAGCUCGCUGGGACGACACUGACGCUGAGACGCGAAAGCGUGGGGAGCGAACAGG